CUGGGCUAGAAUGCCUCUGACAACCCUAGAGAUAGGGCUUCCUAGGGAAACCUAGGCAGAGUGCAAGGUGCUGCAUGGCUGUCGUCAGCUCGUGUCGUGAGAUGUUGGGUUAAGUCCCGCAACGAGCGCAACCCUUAUCGAUAGUUGCUAGCGGUUCGGCCGAGCACUCUGUUGAGACUGCCGUUGAUAAAACGGAGGAAGGUGGGGAUGAUGUCAAGUCAUCAUGGCCUUUAUGUUCAGGGCUACACACGUGCUACAAUGGACGGUACAAAACGUCGCAAUCCCGCAAGGGGGAGCUAAUCGCUAUAACCGUUCUCAGUUCGGAUUGAAGUCUGCAACUCGACUUCAUGAAGUUGGAAUCGCUAGUAAUCGCAAAUCAGCACGUUGCGGUGAAUACGUUCCC
rnacentral:rRNA from 1 species